GUGUCAGCAGCCGCGGUAAUACGUAGGUGGCAAGCGUUGUCCGGAUUUACUGGGCGUAAAGGGUAUGCAGGCGGAUAUUUAAGUAGGAAGUGAAAGGCUCGAGCUCAACUCGGACACUGCUUCCUAUACUGGAUAUCUUGAGUGCCGGAGAGGAAAGCGGAACGACACGUGUAGCGGUGAAAUGCGUUGAUAUGUGUCGGAACACCAAUGGCGAAGGCAGCUUUCUGGACGGAGCCGCAAGGCUUAAAACUGACGCUCAGAUACGAAAGCGUGGGUAGCGAACAGGAUUAGAUACCCUGGUAGUCCACGCCCUAAACGAUGUUCACUAGGUGUCGGGGGGUAACCUCCGGUGCCGUAGCUAACGCAUUAAGUGAACCGCCUGGGGACUACGACCGCAAGGUUGAA
rnacentral:rRNA from 1 species